CGGGUGAGUAAUACAUCGGAACGUGUCCCGUAGUGGGGGAUAGCCCGGCGAAAGCCGGAUUAAUACCGCAUAUGCUCUACGGAGGAAAGUGGGGGACUCGCAAGGGCCUCACGCUAUGGGAGCGGCCGAUGUCCGAUUAGCUUGUUGGCGGGGUAAUGGCCCACCAAGGCGACGAUCGGUAGCUGGUCUGAGAGGACGACCAGCCACACUGGAACUGAGACACGGUCCAG
rnacentral:rRNA from 1 species